AAGAGGCGUCUGGCAAAACACCGAACGGCAUCAGCCACUGGUGACGGAGACAAGCAGCAUAACGCGGCGCGUCCGCCAAGCAGGACAAACGCAACAGCCUCUGCCCGUGGCGAGCAAGGACAACUCUGUCGCCCGCCGCGGAGACGCGACAAAGCGACUGCCCAGCCCCGACUCCCUGGCUGCUGCUCUCCCCGUGCGAAAAGGAAAGAGGAGGACACGACAUCUCCAGCACCGAGCCCGCUCCCGUGCAAACAAGGCUGCAUCCCAGGGACCUGGAAUCUUGGGGAUGCCUGAUCUUUCCUGAUCUCUUCCCCAGACUUACUGGGGUUGCAGCUUUUGGCCUUUUACAACGGGUUUUGGUCCGUCAUAGUGUGUCGACAGUUCUGAGGAACAGCAAGCUAUUGCACGAAUGCAUGGCAAACCUGCAGGAAUGACGAUCAAAGUGAAGGAAGAAAAUUAAGAAUGGAAAGCGUGUUGGACUAUCUUCCAAGCCCAGGCAGGAGCAGAGGUGGAGGAAAUUAAAAAAACAGUUUGUUCACUAAAAUCUACGUUUGUUUGCCCUGAAAAAAAAUGAAUCCAUUGGUGGAUGAAUUCUUCCAGAUGCAGAAGACCCUAGGUCAAAGCCCUCCUUGGCCAAAUGGUUCUUAAAUAUACGCCUCCCUGGAGAAAGUGAUAAUUACAUGUUACUUCAUAGUCUUUGUUCCCCUUUUCCUAUUUUCUGUUUGAUGCUGUUCCGUUUUGUGUAAAAUAUUGAGUAACUAUUCAGCCAGCUAGAGAAAUGGUGUGUGAAAAGAGCUCUGCAAUUCGAUGCUUAGAGCACACAUCAGAUGUGGUAGGCACCUACUGAAGGCAACUGGACGUUGUUAAAUCCAACCCAGAACACCCUAUGGCACAGGCGUUAGGAACUACCUUGGGAUGUAUGGAUUAAAAACUGUGAUUUUUUUUUUGUUAACAAUAUAAAUGGAGGAGGUGCCAAUGGAGGGAGGUGGGGUGGAAAGGAACAAGGUGACAGGCGUGAGGCCAAUAGUUGGAAAACGCUGAAGUAGAGCAUUAGGGUAGGCGGAGUCUCGCUUACCACAGACCACCAGACUUGUUUUAGAGAUGCUGCCAUUGCCUUAAUAUGUUUCCCCCAAAAGUGGGACCUGGCAAUCUAUAUGAGUUGCACUCCCAGGUUAGCACCAUUCACAC
rnacentral:lncRNA from 1 species